AUACGUAGGUGACAAGCGUUAUCCCGAUUUACUGGGCGUAAAGGGCGUGUAGGCGGUCUUGCAAGUCAGAAGUGAAAUUCCUGAGCUCAACUCGGGCGCUGCUUCUGAAACUGCAGGACUUGAGUGCUGGAGGGGAUAGCGGAAUUCCUAGUGGAGCGGUAAAAUGCGCAGAUAUUAGGAAGAACACCGGUGGCGAAGGCGGCUAUCUGGCCAGUAACUGACGCUGAGGCGCGAAAGCGUGGGGAGAAAACAGGAUUAGAUACCCUGGUAGUCCACGCUGUAAACGAUGAAUACUAGGUGUGGGGUGACUGACCCCCUCCGUGCCGCAGUUAACACAAUAAGUAUUCCACCUGGGGAGUACGAUCGCAAGAUUGAAACUCAAAGGAAUUGACGGGG
rnacentral:rRNA from 1 species